rnacentral:rRNA from 1 species
UACAGGGGGGUGCAAAACGUUUGCUCGGAAUUAUUGGGCGUAAAGCGCGCGUAGGCGGCUACCUAAGUCGGAUGUGAAAGCCCCUGGCUCAACUGGGGAAGUGCACCCGAAACUGAGUGGCUUGAAUACCAAAGAGGGUCGCGGAAUUCCCGGUGUAGAGGUGAAAUUCGUAGAUAUCGGGAGGAACACCGGUGGCGAAG